AACGAUAGAUCCGGUCGGCGACCACUUCCUCCCUUCCUUGUUGUGUCAUCCCUAACCCCCUCCUUCGAUCGGUAAUUUCUUUCACACAAUUGUAUUGAACAUUCUAAAUUUUUCUUAGAUUUUGCAUUGAUUGUUCCUAUUUGCCUUGUGAGAUCUGAAAAUUUUCAGUCUUAAAUUUUCAUUGGAUCCUUUAAACUAGUAAUUCUUUAACAAUUGUCUUUAUUUAACCAGCGGCGACGCCCCACAUGGCGGCGUCCUGGACAUCGGUGGAUUAGGGACGAAAUUUGGGGCUGAGGAACUUGAAGAGGUUGUUACCUUUUUUCAUUGUAUUUCAAUGUAUCUCGUUGUAUUUCACGUAUUUUAUUUGUAUUCACUAUUUUUUUUCUAUUGUAUGUAAAUGUAUCUAGUUGUAUUCCAUGUAUUUCAUUAUACUGUCUC
rnacentral:lncRNA from 1 species